ensembl:lincRNA 1700034G24Rik RIKEN cDNA 1700034G24 gene
AGACACAUGGAAGGCAGCUGUGUAGGUGAACACUGCAGCUCACACCUGCCCUGUGUCCUCCGUGGGUGACAUCCAGCUGUCCACACCUUAAGCCCUGAUGUCUGAGGGUUCUCUAGAUGUCUGGGGACGGUUCCUAUCCAGCCUGUGCCCCUGUGCUCUGGUGAAUUUCCCAUCCUCCCUUGUGGCGAAAAUGAAGUCAUGUGACAAGCAAAGCACCCCACUGGAACGCUAACCUAGCUUCUUCAGCCUCUGAUGUGGACUGAAGACCAACAACCGUCCAGAAAACUUCCAGCCUGCUGACACCAGGCUAGGGCUACUGAGACCUCCAGGCCCUGGGUACUGCAUCCCAGAGAGCCCAACAUGCAGGCAGUUGUUGGGCAACAGGGCUGUACCAUUUCAACCAAUGUUUGUUGGUUCUCUACAUAGUCCAUAUCCUGAGUUCUACACCCCCAUAUUCAACCAGCUAUGGCUGCAGUCAGCAGCACACCUCGAUCACAAACUGGCAUCUCCCGCCAGCGCCUGACAAACAGGAGAUCAGUGCUGGUUCCCCGAGGCUCGCAGCACCUAGAGAAACCUGAAGUUUUCCAGACCGCCCCGCUGUCAUGGCAACAGCAGGAGAAACAAACAAAGCUCACAUCAAGCGACUGAACACAAAGCCAUACCAUUAUUUUAAUAAUCGGCAAUGGCCACGCGGGGCUGAGAGCAGCAGGCUUUCAGGGCACUGCCGCCAACGUGUCUCUCUCUUGAGAUGUCUUGAAGUGCUCACCGACACGUGUGGGCCUUGGCACUCAGAUCAUGCCUCCAGCUUGGAGUCCCCUCUUGUGUAGACCCUUACUGCCGACAGCGGUCACCAACUCGUGGGCUUGGGAAGCCAGGUGGCCAGAUGGUUAGAGGCUCCAGCCUCAGGCCAAGCAGCCCUGGGUGCAAAUCCAAACCCUGCACCUUCCAAGCUGGUGAUGGAAGAAAUGGCAGUACUGGUACAAUUACAUCUCCCUGCUGAACCUCUGUUUACAUGGUGCUACGUGAAGAUCUACUUGGGGAGUCAUUCAAAUGUUAACCAGGCUUUAUUGAAAACCUGCUGGAGCUUA